rnacentral:rRNA from 1 species
UACAGAGAGUGCAAACGUUGUUCGGAAUUACUGGGCUUGAAGCGCACGUAGGCGGCGUUGUACGUGUCGGGUGAAAUCCCACGGCUCACCCGUGGAACUGCCCGGCAUACUGCGAUGCUAGAGUGUGGUAGGGGAGAGCGGAACUCCUGGUGGAGCGGUGAAAUGCGUAGAUAUCAGGAGGAACACCGGUGGCGAAGGCGGCUCUCUGGUCCACAACUGACGCUGAGGUGCGAAAGCGUGGGGAGCAAACAGG